UAAGGAAUAUUGGACAAUGGGCGCAAGCCUGAUCCAGCCAUGCCGCGUGCAGGAAGACUGCCCUACGGGUUGUAAACUGCUUUUAUAUAGGAAGAAUAGUCUCGAUUUAUCGGGAUGUGACGGUACUAUAAGAAUAAGCACCGGCUAACUCCGUGCCAGCAGCCGCGGUAAUACGGAGGGUGCAAGCGUUAUCCGGAAUCACUGGGUUUAAAGGGUGCGUAGGCGGUUUGGUAAGUCAGGGGUGAAAGUUUCCCGCUCAACGGGAGAAUUGCCUUUGAUACUGCUAGGCUUGAAUAGUGAUGAGGUGAGCGGAAUGUGGCAUGUAGCGGUGAAAUGCAUAGAUAUGCCAUAGAACACCGAUUGCGAAGGCAGCUCACUGGACAUAUAUUGACGCUGAGGCACGAAAGCGUGGGUAGCGAACAGGAUUAGAUACCCCCGUAGUCC
rnacentral:rRNA from 1 species